GAUGAACGCUGGCGGCGUGCCUAAUACAUGCAAGUCGAGCGAAAAGAUGCGGAGCUUGCUCCUUUGACGUUAGCCGCGGACGUGUGUGUAACACGUGUAUAACCUACUUAUCAGUCUGGGAAAACCUCGGGAAACCGGCUCUAAUCCCGGAGAAUAUAUUGCACCGCAUGGUUCAAUAGUGAAAGACGGUUUUGCUGGCACUUCUAGAUGGAUCUGCGCCGCUUGAGCUAGUUGGUAAGGUAACGGCUUACCAAGGGAACGAGGCGUAGCCGACCUGAGAGGGUGAUCGGCCACACUGGAACUGAGACGCGGUCCAGACUCCUACGGGAGGCAGCAGUAGGGAAUCUGCCGCAAUGGGCGAAAACCUGACGGAGCAACGCCGCGUGAGUGAUGAAGGUCUUCGGAUCGUAAAACUCUGUUAUUGGGGAAGAACAAAUGUGUAAGUAACUAUGCACGUCUUGACGGUACCUAAUCAGAAAGCCACGGCUAACUACGUG
rnacentral:rRNA from 1 species